rnacentral:lncRNA from 1 species
CUCAAAGUCUCCAAAUCACAAUAUCCCUCACUACCUCUUUAUAUUUGGAAAUGUUAGUUUUCCACUGUUGAGUAGUAUGGUUGGGAUGAUUUCUGAUAUUGUCUAAAGGUAUGUUAGCAUGUGAAUCUAGCUGCAGCCACAAACAGCCGGGUAUAGGUUGAAUGUUUCUGUUUCCCCCAAAUUCACAUGUUGAAACUUAGUCCCCAGCGUCAUAACAUUUGCAGGUGGGGCCUUUGGUAUGUGAUUAGGUCAUGAGAAUCCUGGUGGAGAUUAUUUCCCAUAUGGUAAAGAGCUUCCUUCCCCCUUCUACCAUGUGUGAACCCACAGAAAGAUGGCCAAAGAGAAAAUGGGAAGUGGGUCUUACCAGUAGCUAGUCUAGUGGAGUGUUGAUGUUAUACAUUCCAGACCCCAAGACUAUUAGAAAUAAAGUUAUGUUGUUUAUAUGCUACUCAAUCUGUGGUAUUCCAUUAUAGUAACUGAAAUGGACUAAGAUACAGCCAUCAUAUGAAUAUGGGUUUCAGAUGUACAACAAGACAUGGAAAAACUGACAGUGUGAACAGUGAAGAAAAAGGAAGAAAUCCACUUUGGAUCAUGGUUUAGAAGAAAUAUGGGGUCCAAAAAAGGGUUUCUUUUUUGAAUCUGCCAUGCUAUGAAGGACGUGAAAAUCAGUUUUACUGGAAAGAUGAUGGACUCUCAUCUGAGAUUGCCCCCUGGAGGACAUAGGGAGCAACCAGACAGCAUCUGCUUCCUGCUCCAGGGAGGAUCAACAUUAAUUAAUGCAACAGAGCAGCUGGUUCUCUCUGAGCUACUGAUUUGGAUUCAGCUGCAGUGAUUAUUUCUUUGUGCAUCAUUUGGCUUUGUGCAUCAUUUGACUCCUCAAAAGAUCACACAUUGUUAUGUUUUACAUCUAGACUGUCUCACAAAAGUCCCAUAAGUUCAGAGGUGGGACUUUUGGAUGGUGACUGGAUCAUGGAGGUGCUGUGCUCUUCAGAGCAUUGAGCACACUCUCACACAAAUGCUUGUGGAUGGACUAUGUGAAAUUGAACCAGAACUUCAGGAAUGAAGAAGUGAAGUCAGAAGAACUAGUAAGCUGGAAACCAAAGGCAGAGAGAAAUACAAUCAAGGAAAUAUUAAACUCAGAUUGAAGACUAAAGGAGUAGUAAUAAAUAUUUCCCCAAGUACAUGAGACUCUCCCUCUCUAUGUUGGCUGUGGAUCCCACUCAAAAUUCAAUCAUGCUAUGAAAAUGUUUUAUCACUCACCUACAUCCUGGAGAAAAGAAUAUCAAGAUGCUUUUUCUCUUCCAAGCUGAAUAACACA